rnacentral:lncRNA from 1 species
GGUGAGUCAAUCAACAAACCAUAGUGAAAACACAAGAACAAUACCGAAGCUCAGACGGAGCAGUCUAUAUGUCAGGCCCUGGCCUUAAAGAUACAUUGUUUUAAGUCAUUUAAUCAUCAUAAGGGCCCUUUGAGGUAAUUGUCUCCAUUUUCCUGAUUAAAAAAUAGGCACAGAGAGUGAUCUGUUAAGUUAGAUGAAAAAGUUUAGGUAUCCAGGGGAGCCUGUGACCAAAUGGCUAAAUGUGUGUGUAGGAACAAUAAUGACUGAACACAGCUUAAUUUUGUGGCUGUUUCUCUACCAGAAGGGGUAGGGAGGUAUUCAACAGCACAUAAUGAUCACGUGUGAUAUGGAGUCAGAGGCCUGGGUACCAGCUCUGGCUCAGCCUCUUCAGUCUGUUUGAUUUGGGGCGAAUUAAACCUCUUUGGGACCUGGUUUCUUCCAGCGCUUGUCUUGAGUAGUAAAUGAGGCUAUGGCCAUGAUCACUGUGUGAGACCACAAGGAUGGGACCUCCUGGACGGCCUGGGACAGCAAGAAUGCUUCCCCAGAGUGCUGCCACGUGAGGCUAGAGCCCAGGUUCCAGCGUAACUCGUCUGGGUCACAGGGAGAAGCAGUGAACUUGGGUAACAGCAGUUGAAAAACAGAAGAAACAAAUAAAAGAAACAAUAAAACAAGGAAAGAACCUGCUUCCUGGGGUUCUGAUAAAGUAGGCAUGAGACUGUGUGUAUAUCAGGCCAGACACACACACACACACACACACACACACACAGACACACACGCACACAGACACACACACACACAGACACACAGACACACACACAGACACACACACACACACAAAUGCAGCUCCCUGCCUGGGUGUUCACAAAGGGUUAAUUCAUAAUAUGGACUAGAUAUGAAGGCUAGCCAGCACAAUCCUGGGUGGUGCUGUGGCCACAGGGAGCUGUUGCCAGUCAGUCACAGGUCUGAAAGAUGGGGAUGCAAGCACCCCUUGGCAGGCACUGCGUUCUCAUAGGGGUGUGGAGGUGUUGCCCCUCACCAAUCUCUAUCUGCUGCUGCCUCCUGCUGGCUGCACCUGCAUGCCAACAGAAGGAAGCACCAGGGCUCGGGCAGUCUAAACAGGAGGAGCCUCCCAGAGAAACCAGGGAGGGCAGAGAGCUAUCCCAGGGUCCUCAGGAGCAAGGGUAGUUGUCUGGUCUUUCUCUCAAAGCUCCUCUCACAGUCUCCUUUUCCACCUGACCAGGUUUCUAGAGUAGUGGGUAGGGUGGUGGUCUCUCACCCAAGUGACACUAGGACACAGGUCAUGGUGCAGCCUUCCUGAGUUUAGUCAGAAAGUGCCAUGUGUGACAGUUGUUCACAGCAGAGCUCCUGAGGGGUGGUGAGGUAUUCUCAAGGCCUGUGUGAGGUGUUAAGAUGUGAGCCUUGUCCUCUCAUGAUGUAGUGGGAAAACAGGACCACGGAGGGGCCAAUUGACCAGGUGGAAACAAGCACAGGAUUUUCUCUGCUCCAACCACUCUUGGAGUGUAUAGGCAGCACUCACGGGAGUAAAUUCUGGGAGCUAGGGCACCGUGACCCUUGCAUCAACACCUCAUUUCUUGUGUCUGGAGUCCCAGUGACCUGCUUUGUGUCCUGGUCUCAGCCUGAAGGCAGCUUUGGCAAAAUAGUUUUCCUGUGAAGCUGAGGUGGGCCCAGCAGGCUGGAAAGGGCCUAGCCUUCCUGCAGGCAGAUAUUUCUCUCUUUCUCUUUCUCUUUUUUUUAAACAGGCUGGGAACUGACAGAGAAUCCAGUGAAUGAUCAAAUAGCUCACUUCAAACUCUGCCUGAGGCAAGGGCUCGCGGGCUGGGGAACUUGAAAGACAGAGCUGAGAGAGAUUCUGGCUAGGCUUCCGUUCCUCAGAAGAAACUCAAAGAAGUGUCUAGGCUGGCUAUGGCCCUCACCGGGUCAGGUGCUGAGCCAAUUUUGAGCCCUGAGACUCCUGUCUCUUAUGGCUUUGAGCCUUUUAUUCCUUGGUUGAAAGACAGGAGCCACCCAAACUGAACCAUGCUCCUGUGUCCCCUGAGACAUCCACAAACAGGAGGCCACUAGGAAUGGGACUGGUAGAUACCCAAACCUUGAGGGUCACCUUAGAGUUUCUUCCUCUGCUCAGACUCUGCAAGGACUCUCCCAUCCUUCACAGCAACAGCCAGAGCUCUGUUGUCAGCUCCUAGGUUCUUCACGGAAGCCAGUACACUCACUCCAGUCUUGUCUCCCAUUUCUCAGGCCCUGACUCAUUCAGCAGGCCUUGGUUGCUCACAGGCUAUGCCUGUCCCUCUAGGUUUGUACCCCUCUAGAAACUUCUUUCCUUGAGAGUUUCAUGACCUGUUUCAGAUCUUUGCCAGCUUCUGCUCUCUGCUCUAGUGUCCCCUUUGCAGUUGAAAAAUUUUUAUUUCUUUUUUUUUAAACUUAUUUAUUAUUUUAUGUAAGUACACCGUAGCUGUCUUCAGACACACCAGAGGGCAUCAGAUGUCAUUACGGAUGGUUGUAAGCCACCAUAUGGUUGCCAGGAUUUGAACUCAGAACCUUCAGAAGAGCAGUCAGUGCUCUUAACCACUGAGCCAUCUCUCCAGACUGAAAAAAAUUUUCAAAUCAAGGCCUAGAGUGAUGGCUCGGUGGUUAAGAACACUGACUACCCUUCCAGAGGACCGGGAUUUGAUUCCCAGCAUCCACAUGGCAGCUCAUAACUGUCUGUGACUCCAGUUCCAGAUGAUCUACCACUAUCUUCUAGACUCUUCCAGCAUCAGGCAUGCAUCUGGCACACAGACAUGCAUGCAAACAAAAUACCCAUACACAU